AUGCAAGUCGAGCGAAUGAUCCCUUCGGGGAGAUUUAUCGGCGGACGGGUGAGUAACACGUGGGCAACCUGCCUUAAUGAGGGGGAUAGCCUGACAAAAGGAAGAUUAAUACCCCAUAAUAUUAUAUUGUCGCAUGAUAGAAUAAUCAAAGAUUUAUCGCAUUAAGAUGGGCCCGCGGCGCAUUAUCUAGUUGGUGAGGUAACGGCUCACCAAGGCCACGAUGCGUAGCCGACCUGAGAGGGUGAUCGGCCACAUAGGGACUGAGACACGGCCCAGACUCCUACGGGAGGCAGCAGUGGGGAAUAUUGCACAAUGGGGGAAACCCUGAUGCAGCAACGCCGCGUGAGUGAUGAAAGUCUGCGGAUUGUAAAGCUCUGUCUUCGGGGACGAUAAUGACGGUACCCAAGGAGGAAGCCGCGGCUAACUACGUGCCAGCAGCCGCGGUAAUACGUAGGUGGCAAGCGUCGUCCGGAAUCAUCGGGCGUAAAGGAUGCGUAGGCGGAUAUAUAAGUCA
rnacentral:rRNA from 1 species